AUGAACGCUGGCGGCGUGCUUACACAUGCAAGUCGAACGGUGAACACGGAGCUUGCUCUGUGGGAUCAGUGGCGAACGGGUGAGUAACACGUGAGCAACCUGCCCCUGACUCUGGGAUAAGCGCUGGAAACGGCGUCUAAUACUGGAUAUGUGACGUGACCGCAUGGUCUGCGUCUGGAAAGAAUUUCGGUUGGGGAUGGGCUCGCGGCCUAUCAGCUUGUUGGUGAGGUAAUGGCUCACCAAGGCGUCGACGGGUAGCCGGCCUGAGAGGGUGACCGGCCACACUGGGACUGAGACACGGCCCAGACUCCUACGGGAGGCAGCAGUGGGGAAUAUUGCACAAUGGGCGCAAGCCUGAUGCAGCAACGCCGCGUGAGGGACGACGGCCUUCGGGUUGUAAACCUCUUUUAGCAGGGAAGAAGCGAAAGUGACGGUACCUGCAGAAAAAGCGCCGGCUAACUACGUGCCAGCAGCCGCGGUAAUACGUAGGGCGCAAGCGUUAUCCGGAAUUAUUGGGCGUAAAGAGCUCGUAGGCGGUUUGUCGCGUCUGCUGUGAAAUCCGGAGGCUCAACCUCCGGCCUGCAGUGGGUACGGGCAGACUAGAGUGCGGUAGGGGAGAUUGGAAUUCCUGGUGUAGCGGUGGAAUGCGCAGAUAUCAGGAGGAACACCGAUGGCGAAGGCAGAUCUCUGGGCCGUACUGACGCUGAGGAGCGAAAGGGUGGGGAGCAAACAGGCUUAGAUA
rnacentral:rRNA from 2 species